rnacentral:rRNA from 2 species
AACAGCUCAAAUUUGAAAUCUGGCCCUAGGCCCGAGUUGUAAUUUGCAGAGGAUGCUUUUGGUGCGGUGCCUUCCAAGUUCCCUAGAACGGGACGCCAGAGAGGGUGAGAGCCCCGUACAGUUGGACACCAAGCCUUUGUAAAGCUCCUUCGACGAGUCGAGUAGUUUGGGAAUGCUGCUCAAAAUGGGAGGUAUAUUUCUUCUAAAGCUAAAUACCGGCCAGAGACCGAUAGCGCACAAGUAGAGUGAUCGAAAGAUGAAAAGCACUUUGAAAAGAGGGUUAAACAGCACGUGAAAUUGUUAAAAGGGAAGCGCUUGUGACCAGACUUGCGUCCGGUGAAUCACCCAGCUCUCGCGGCUGGGGCACUUCGCCGGCUCAGGCCAGCAUCAGCUCGCUGUCGGGGACAAAAGCUUCAGGAACGUAGCUCUCUUCGGGGAGUGUUAUAGCCUGUUGCACAAUACCCUUCGGCGGGCUGAGGUACGCGCUCCGCAAGGAUGCUGGCAUAAUGGUCAUCAGCGACCCGUCUUGAAACACGGACCAAGGAGUCAACCUUAUGUGCGAGUGUUCGGGUGUCAAACCCCUACGCGUAAUGAAAGUGAACGCAGGUGAGAGCUUCGGCGCAUCAUCGACCGAUCCUGAUGUUCUCGGAUGGAUUUGAGUAAGAGCAUAUAGGGUUGGACCCGAAAGAAGGUGAACUAUGCGUGUAUAGGGUGAAGCCAGAGGAAACUCUGGUGGAGGCUCGCAGCGGUUCUGACGUGCAAAUCGAUCGUCAAAUAUGCGCAUGGGGGCGAAAGACUAAUCGAACCUUCUAGUAGCUGGUUUCCGCCGAAGUUUCCCUCAGGAUAGCAGUGUUGAACUCAGUUUUAUGAGGUAAAGCGAAUGAUUAGGGACUCGGGGGCGCUAUAUUGCCUUCAUCCAUUCUCAAACUUUAAAUAUGUAAGAAGCCCUUGUUGCUUAAUUGAACGUGGGCAUUCGAAUGUAUCAACACUAGUGGGCCAUUUUUGGUAAGCAGAACUGGCGAUGCGGGAUGAACCGAACGCGAGGUUAAGGUGCCAGAGUAGACGCUCAUCAGACACCACAAAAGGUGUUAGUACAUCUUGACAGCAGGACGGUGGCCAUGGAAGUCGGAAUCCGCUAAGGACUGUGUAACAACUCACCUGCCGAAUGUACUAGCCCUGAAAAUGGAUGGCGCUCAAGCGUCUCACCCAUACCUCGCCCUCA